ensembl:lncRNA
AUGGGGCUGUGCGUGAGGGGACAGUGCAAGAGGAGCUGCAGGCCUCGGGGCUGGCCCUGCACCGUGAUCUGCACUUCAGUUCCUUCAACAAGCAGUACCUGCACACCAACUUCACCUGCGUGGUGCUCAGUCCCCUCGGUGUCGACACCAGGGAGGUGCGAUGGCCAUCGCCAGCACUGGCCCCCAUCACUGGGAAGAGUGAGGGCCUGGGCUGAGAUGGAGGAGCAACUCCAGUGCUGGGUGCUGAGUGAGCAGCCUGCAGUGCAGCUCCCUGCUCUGACAGCCCCACACCCACCACUGCAUGCACAUGAGACACCUCCAGGGAGGCCCGUCUCUGUGACGCCUCUGCUUUGGGGACUGCAUGGCCCCACAUAUGCUGGCCCCACUGUGAGUGGGGCUCCUGGUGCCCCAAGCCGAGUCAGGAGCGCUGCCUGGGCUGAAACCAGCCCUGCCCAUAGCUGGCUUUGGGACCCUAGAGUUUAUUAAAGUACAUCAAGGUUUCCCAGUGUCACCUGCAUCCCGGUGAUGGUGCUGCCCAGGGGUGUAGAGGGCACAUGUGGGGGAGGGAGAUAAGGUAGCCAUGGGGUCCAUGAAGUGUAGGAUCCAUUCCUGACCCCCUUCCUGCCUAGUGAAGGGCUAGAGAGCCACAGUACUCCCAGUUAUGCUCAGGGAACACCUGGCACAACAGCUGUGCCCUGUCCUGGAGGAGAGUGUGGGUGGAGAAGCCCUGGAGUGCAGGCACCCCAGAAGAUGGGCCCACCACAUCCCUCUCUGCACCUGGGGGGGGUUGGGACUCUUCCUCAGCAUGGCAUUGCUGCUCCGUGGGGCAACCCCUGUAACCAUCCUGUGCUGGCAGGAUACCACCUGCUCUUUAUUGCCAGGCCCCUUCUUGCUCCCUCAGGUGCUUGUGGGGGGUGUGACCCCCUGGACUGUGGGACAGGCUGGGGAACAAAUCCCAAACCCUUUGAGCAACCCCUGGGCUAUGGGCAUCACACUUCAGGAUGCUCAGAAUGUGGGAGGGAUAGGGAUGGGGGUGGGGGGGAGUGGAGAAGUCUCCAGGUGCACGCCCCAUGAGCUGCCCUCAGCCCAGGGAGCCACAGGAGCCCCCUGGGGACACCCCAGUCCCACAGUGACUCUUAAGAGCUAGGGGAAGGCAAGCAGUGGAGCAGCCACCUGGGCAGGGACCUGCACCCCCUAGCCUUGUUAAUUCCAGACUCCAUUCCUGGGAGAGCCUCUCACAGACCCCACACACAGCUGCAUCCUGACACCACAGCUGCCACUCAGCAAAGGCCUCUGUCACGCUCAGCCAAUGUCCUGGGGGCAGUGACACUACGGCCAGGCUGAGCACAGAUACCUGCCGUGCAGGACCCUGUGCGGGUAUCUCCGUGUCCCUCAUCCUGUCCUGCUGUUCCCCUGACGCUGGUGGCUCCAUCCCUGACCCCUUCUUCUUGCCGCAGUGUGAUGGCAGCAGCACACUUCUCACUGCACACCAUGGCACCCAGCCCUGCCAUGCCAUCUCACGCCAUGCUGCGUCAUGCUGCGGCACACUUUGCUGCCCACAGACCCUACUGCAAACCACAGGUGAGAGCUGCUCUGAGAUGUGCAAGGCUGUGUGUCCAUGGCAUGCCCUCCCCACCACCAAGAUCGAGAUCUCCCUGUCCUGGCAGACCUGGUGGGACAGGACUGUUCCCUGCCGCAAGUCCCCAUGGCCCAGCAGUGGGAGAGACUGUCUUGCAGGGACAUCACCUUUCACAAAAUCACAGUUGUAGGUGCUGAGCACCGUUGGAAACAGCUGGAAGAGGGCAAUUUCAGCAACCUCAAACAUCUGGAAAAGCAGGAUGAGGACCUCCUUGUCCUUAUGGGACAAGUCCUUGGUAGGGACACUGUAGCAGGUCUCUGACACAGUGCCAGAUUUUUCCCCAGCCAGCUCCCGGCACUGAGCCAAGAGUGGGCUGCUCCUGGGAAGCAGGGCAGAUUAGGGCUGAUGCUCUAUGGCCCUGGCUGUCCAGCAUCGAGGGCAGGAGCAAGGAAUGGGAGAGGUCUUCCAUGUGGCUUCCAAAAGGGAUUCAUUCUCUUGAAGGUUCCAGGGAUGAAAGACAAAAGAUACAGGGGUACGUGUAAGUAAGGGGGAGGAGCAAGGGGAGUGUACAAAUAAUAAACCAAUAGGGAAGACUUAGGCGAAGAGCGCA